GACGAACGCUGGCGGCGUGCUUAACACAUGCAAGUCGAACGGAAAGGCCCUGCUUUUGUGGGGUGCUCGAGUGGCGAACGGGUGAGUAACACGUGAGUAACCUGCCCUUGACUUUGGGAUAACUUCAGGAAACUGGGGCUAAUACCGGAUAGGAGCUCCUGCUGCAUGGGGGGGGUUGGAAAGUUUCGGCGGUUGGGGAUGGACUCGCGGCUUAUGAGCUUGUUGGUGGGGUUGUGGCUUACCAAGGCUUUGACGGGUAGCCGGCCUGAGAGGGUGACCGGCCACCUUGGGACUGAGAUGCGGCCCCGACUCCUACGGGAGGCAGCAGUGGGGAAUAUUGCACAAUGGGCGGAAGCCUGAUGCAGCAACGCCGCGUGCGGGAUGACGGCCUUCGGGUUGUAAACCGCUUUCGCCUGUGACGAAGCGUGAGUGACGGUAAUGGGUACAGAAGCACCGGCUAACUACGUG
rnacentral:rRNA from 1 species